rnacentral:rRNA from 1 species
AGAAUGAACGCUGGCGGCGCGCCUAAUACAUGCAAGUCGAGCGAGAAGACGUAGCAAUACGUUUGUAAAGCGGCGAACGGGUGAGGAAUACAUGGGUAACCUAUCCUCGAGUGGGGAAUAACUAGCCGAAAGGUUAGCUAAUACCGCGUACGCUUCUUGGACUUCGGUUCAGGGAGGAAAGCGAUGCCGAGGGUAUCGCGCUCUUGGAUGGGCUCAUGUCCUAUCAGCUUGUUGGUGAGGUAACGGCUCACCAAGGCUUCGACGGGUAGCUGGUCUGAGAGGACGAUCAGCCACACUGGCACUGCGACACGGGCCAGACUCCUACGGGAGCAGCAGUAAGGAAUAUUGCGCAAUGGGCGAAAGCCUGACGCAGCGACGCCGCGUGGGGAUGAAGGUCUUCGGAUUGUAAACCCCUUUGGGAGGAAGAGUGGAAGUGGGUAACCCAGUUCGGACGGUACCUCCGAGAAGCAGCCACGGCUAACUUCGUGUCAGUAGCCGA